GUUAAUGUAGCUUAAUCAAAGCAAUGCACUGAAAAUGCCUAGAUGGACUUUAAUACAGUCCCAUAAAC
rnacentral:tRNA from 1 species